GAUGAACGCUGGCGGCGUGCCUAAUACAUGCAAGUCGAGCGAACAGACGAGGAGCUUGCUCCUCUGACGUUAGCGGCGGACGGGUGAGUAACACGUGGAUAACCUACCUAUAAGACUGGGAUAACUUCGGGAAACCGGAGCUAAUACCGGAUAAUAUAUUGAACCGCAUGGUUCAAUAGUGAAAGACGGUUUUGCUGUCACUUAUAGAUGGAUCCGCGCCGCAUUAGCUAGUUGGUAAGGUAACGGCUUACCAAGGCGACGAUGCGUAGCCGACCUGAGAGGGUGAUCGGCCACACUGGAACUGAGACACGGUCCAGACUCCUACGGGAGGCAGCAGUAGGGAAUCUUCCGCAAUGGGCGAAAGCCUGACGGAGCAACGCCGCGUGAGUGAUGAAGGUCUUCGGAUCGUAAAACUCUGUUAUUAGGGAAGAACAAAUGUGUAAGUAACUAUGCACGUCGUGACGGUACCUAAUCAGAAAGCCACGGCUAACUACGUG
rnacentral:rRNA from 1 species